UUCAUAGGUCCAAACCUAAGUCAGUAGCACAGAAAUAAAUUCUUGUACCAAUCGAAGUGACCAUCUAGUAAUGAUACUCGACAGCCGGAUAGGUCGAAUGUGUAGAACAACAUUCUGAGAACCCAUGCGGAUAUAGUUUCCAUAUAAUUCAUCCCCUUGACCAAAAUGCUCAUAGGACACCUCAGAGUUCAUCUGUCAACUCUGAUCAGGUUGUCCACAUUGUAUUUUAAAAUAUCAAAUCUAUCUGAUGGAUUAUCCUGACCAAAGUUUUGCUAAAUUGAAAUACAGCGACUCAUUCUUCUUCAACUCUUGAAGUGGUCAAUCCCAUCUUGAUCACACUCUGACUUUGCAACUACUUGACUGUGUCCAAAAACCUUCCGUCACUGAAUUAAAAAUUCAGUUAGUCCAGUACCAAAGCAUAGUGAGUUGCUUGCAAGUCACUGAGGUGAUCUCAAGUCUAAGGGACACUUAUACCUAUAUUCCAUCAGAGACAUUCUCGACAGCAGAAUGCUCUAGAGUUGGUCACGUUCAAUGAUGAUGUACCCUUACAUCUCACAUGUAUGCCAUAUCAGUGUCUCCACACUCCUUGGUUAAGAGGACAACCAACCCAUAUGACCUACAGUGAUCUAUGCUCGAUAGAAGCUGUCGUCCUUAUUAACAGCCUAUCAUUUGGUCAUGAAUAAUUUUAAAAACUAAUCAAUAAAUCUUCUCUUUAUUGAACCUAAA
rnacentral:lncRNA from 1 species